UUCUUAUGCCUCUGCAAUUCCAUCCGUAAUCAUUUCGAUGCACCUAUGCCCCACUCAGCUUUUUUUUACUUCUCGGUAUAUAAUUAUAUAUUCUUCUUUUUUUGCAAAUUUAAAUACCAACUUUAGUAUGGGGUAUAUAUCGAAUAUCGUCUAUCCUCUAUAAAUGUCAAAAAAAAAAAUUAUUUACUUGAUAUAAAAAAUUUCAAGGAAUAUUGUUCAUAUGUAAGGAUUGGGAAUGUCAUUUAACUGGUUGUACCUUGACUUUGGUUUCUCAGAUUCACACUAAGCGUAUGUGCUGAUGGCAUAUUCAGGUCUAUCUUCUGUUACUUGGAGCUGUGCAUUUUAUCUGUUAAAUUUGAUUCGAUCCGUGAUUCGUUGCUAUUCGAUUCAAAAAUUCAGGAUAUCCGUAAGCUUUUGAAGCAAAGCAAAUGAUAAAAUUCUAUAUCAGUUAAAAUCGAAGUAAAUCACAAAUAUUAAAAUUUUGGGAAGCGAAUAUCCGAUCUGAUCCGUCAAUAUAUAAAUACAUGUAUUUUUAUUAUAUUUAAAGUUUUAAAUGUAGAAAACUAUAUAAUUAUUAUUCUAACAUAUGAUUUGACGGAUUAUAUUCACAUUACUACUUUUCUAAAAAUAUUACAUAAAAGGAAGAGAAAAUAUUUAUUACAAUUAUAAUUUUUUUCUUAAGUUUUGUAUUAUUAUAAUUGUUAACUAAGUUUAAAAUUUUACAAAAUAUGUAGAUUCACUAUUUCUUUUAAUUUUUAUCUUUUAUAUCAUGCAAAACAAAUAUUUUACAAAACAAAUUUGUAUCAAAUUUUUAAGAUUAUUUGUAUAAUCAAAACAAAUGAGAUAUCCGUAAGUAUCCGCAAAUAUCCGCAAAUAAUUAUUUAUUUUCUGGAUAACCGUUUUUUCGAAAUAUCCGUAUUUUUCCGAAGCAAAGUAAAUCGGAAAAUUAGAUAUCCGUAAUAUUCAAGACAAAUCACAAAUACAUUCAAAAAUCCUGAUAUCCAAUCCGUGUCCAGACCUACCUGUUAGUUUGCACCUUCUCUCGUGCGUUUUAGACUAGUUGAUGUAAGGAAAAAUGAUUAAACAGUCAAGCAAGAGUUGUACAAAAAGCCUAGCGAACCAUCAGGAGAAAUCUAAUCACAUAUUAAGAAUAUAAUAUAUUACAUAAAUUAAACAAAUCCAUUUUUAAAAACUGGAGCAAAUAAAACAAUCAAAGCAAACUCAGAAGUCAAAAUCAAAAGCUAACUUAAAAUAAGCAAGUUUGAAAACAAAAGAAAAGAAAAUGGUGGGAAGGUCAAAACUAGGUCUGUCUAAUCCGAAUAUCAGUUCAGUUUCGAAUCGGAAUAUUUGAUUUUUUAGUUAAUAAGAUAUAACUACUAUUCAAAAUUCAUAUUUACGUUGGGUCAGUUUUAAACCAAAAACGAUUACUAUUUAGUUUGGUAUCAUAUUAUAUGAAUUUUAGUGUCAUUUUGUGAAAACAAUCAUUUAUUAAAGAUAUGUCAGAUGUCAUCAAUAAAACAAAAAUAUAACUAAAAACUUUCUACCAUUAAAUAAAAUAAUCUAUUUAGAACCAAAAUCAGUGCUCAAAAUUUUGAAAAUAAAAUAAUGAAAAAGAAAACACAAGUAUUAAAGAAAUGUUUUUCCAAUAUCAUAUACUUAGUGUUCAUCAAAGUCAUGCAUCCUCUGAUUGAACAUGAAUUUCUGUUUGUUUAUAGAUAAAAAAAUUGUAAUUAAUUUCCACUAGUUGGUGUCCAUCAAAUUUAUACUUUCACUUCACUUUGGCCAAUGGCAAAAGAAAGCAAAAACAGUAAAAGAAGAAUGGUUUCGAGACAUGGCGCAAGUUGGUGUCUCGUGGUGGUUUCGAGACAUGGUGGUUUCGAGACAUGGCGCAAGUUGGAUUUGGACAGUAAGUGUUCUGACGGCCCUGAAAUUUUACGGCAAGGCAAAUGAAGCGUUAUAGGCAAAGAAUCUAAAUCCGGUUGGAACAGAGUUGGACGAGUCACAAAAAAGUACGCUCAGACAAUAGUUGGUCAUUCGAAACUAAUGUUCUGUGAAUCUAUUUAGAUUUUGAUAAAGCAAAGUUCACAUAUUUGCUUCUGUGGUUGUCGUGGUUUUGGCCACCGAAGUUUCUGGGUUGGAAGAACAACUGAUAACACUAGACUAUAAGAGACAUGUAUAUAGUAUAGAACCAAGUAUAUUUACUAGUGUUUUACUAUUGAAAUAUAGCGAUGUAUAUUCAUUUGUGCGUAUUUGCAUGCUACUGAAGUAUUGUCUAUGCUUGUUGUAGACAGCACAAUUUUUUGUAAACCGCGAUGGCAUAGUCACGCAAUAGAUAGAAUCCAACCUUGUAUCUAGUUAACUUUAUCGUAUGACUAUACUAUAAAGUACAUGUAGUAUAUAGUAUGUCUCUUUCACUUA